CGGUGGAGUAUGUGGUUAAUUCGAUGCAACGCGAAGAACUUACCUGGUCUUGACAUCCCGGAGACCCUUAGGAAACUAGGGGUGCUUCCAUCUGGAAGAAUCUGGAGACAGGUGCUGCAUGGCUGUCGUCAGCUCGUGUCGUGAGAUGUUGGGUUAAGUCCCGCAACGAGCGCAACCCUUGCCUUUAGUUGCCAGCAGUUCGGCUGGGCACUCUAAAGGGACUGCCGGUGUUAAACCGGAGGAAGGUGGGGAUGACGUCAAGUCCUCAUGGCCUUUAUGACCAGGGCUACACACGUACUACAAAUGGCCGAUACAAAGGGCAGCGACACUGCGAGGUGAAGCCAAUCCCGUAAAAUCGGUCUCAGUCCGGAUUGGAGUCUGCAACUCGACUCCAUGAAGUUGGAAUCGCUAGUAAUCGUGGAUCAGCAUGCCACGGUGAAUACGUUCCCGGGCCUU
rnacentral:rRNA from 1 species